rnacentral:ncRNA from 1 species
GCAACCUGCGGCUCGCGCACGGCAACCUGGUGGUGUUCCGUUCGCUCCUGGGCAUCUCGUGGAUGUGGUUUUUCGGCGCCGUCUUCCUGAGCCAGUUCCCGAGCUUUGCCAAGGAGGUGCUG